GACGAACGCUGGCGGCGUGCCUAAUACAUGCAAGUCGAACGAAGCUGUUUUAACUGGUGCUUGCACCGACUUAAACAACUGAGUGGCGAACGGGUGAGUAACACGUGGGUAACCUGCCCCAAAGCGGGGGAUAACAUUUGGAAACAGAUGCUAAUACCGCAUAACCACAGAAACCACAUGGUUUCUGUGUCAAAGAUGGUUUCGGCUAUCACUUUGGGAUGGACCCGCGGCGUAUUAGUUAGUUGGUAAGGUAAUGGCUUACCAAGGCAAUGAUACGUAGCCGAACUGAGAGGUUGAUCGGCCACAUUGGGACUGAGACACGGCCCAAACUCCUACGGGAGGCAGCAGUAGGGAAUCUUCCACAAUGGACGAAAGUCUGAUGGAGCAACGCCGCGUGAGUGAAGAAGGUUUUCGGAUCGUAAAACUCUGUUGUCAGGGAAGAACGUGUGCGAGAGUAACUGCUCGUGCAGUGACGGUAUCUGGCCAGAAAGCCACGGCUAACUACGUGCCAGCCGCCGCAGUAA
rnacentral:rRNA from 1 species